UCCGCCUUCAUGAGUAGAUGAUGUUGGGGUUGGCAACUCCGCAUUCAUCAACACUCUCUCCGGCUAAGUUCUCUUCUAUACAACGCCGCUAAUCUCCUUCUUCCGAAAUGUUGGGUAAGCGUUUAUCUUUGUAUAUUAUUAUUUUUCUCCUUUUGUUCUCGCUACGCAACCAGUAAUUUUUUUGUCUUGAGAAUAUCACUUUUAGCAUUUUGGUAGGCACUAAACAUGACCAGUGAUGCAUAAGGAGAUCUACCUUGAUUGGUGGAAGUGAUAAUAUAUGCAGGAGAUUGUUUGGUAACUAAAGAGCUUGUCCAUAUGUAAAAGAAGAUGGCACAUAUGAAAUAAGGUUAAGGAAACAUUGACUAUGGUAACUAGAAACGUAAUCGUAACUGGAGUUAUGACAUGGUGAGGAUGAUGCUUAAUUGAGUAUUUUUUUCUUUGAAACUAGUGUACUUGAAGAGGAAGAGAAGCCACUUAAAAGAGAUGAAUCUGAUUAGAAGAUAUAUAUAUAUAUAGGUAAUCCAUUAUCUACAAUUAAUAAUGGAUUGUUAAGUUUUAUUAAACUGAUUCACUUAAAUUACGAAGCAGUUUAUGAUUAACCUAAUAUCAUUCCAUUGUAUCACUUAAACCUAACAUAAAAUCUACCUUUUUAUGAUUAACUCUCCUCGGAAAUAGUGUAGAAGGUCAACUGGAAUUCAUUAUCCGAUAUUUUUCCUUCAUUUUAAUAAAGUUUAGUUUCCUUGUCCGUCGCAAAUUAUUGGUCUUGUUAGGCUUUUAAAGAGAAUAUAACACAAUGUUUUUGUUUUGCUUUGCUAGGGUUAUCUUCUGAGUUUGUUCUGGUGUUCAUCAUGCGGUUUGUGGAAGCUGAGGGUAUUAGUCUUCUGUGGAGUUGUUACUCUUUCCAUUGGUAAACAGAUUUUAAGUUAUUGACAUGUUUCUUGAUCCCUUAAGGAGUUAAAUGUUAAGAUAUUUUUGCUCCAUAUGACACAACUCGUCCUUCUACUUUGCUUCAUAGAUUUUCAAUAUUGAAUCGAUUUAUGUUAAUAGUUUUGUAAAUUUGAUUGUAGGAUAUCUAUGAAGUAUUUAAUUUUAGGAUUUUCAACAUCAAAUCAAUGAAGUAGUUACUUCUUAGGAUUAUUAGUAGUAAUUAAGUGUAGAUAAUACAUUAUCUACAAUUAACUACAAGUAAUAAUAUCAUGGAAUGAGCUACAAAUUUCAUCCGUUUUGCAUCAAAAGUUUGUUUUACAUGCAUUAAGAAAUUUCACUUGAAUGUUAAAAAAAAAAUCACUUGCAUGCUGUAACAAUUGGGUAUCACAUUGAGAUAUUGAAUCCUAACAAAAUAUAUAAGUAUAUAUGUGAUAUACAGAUGCAUAAAUUUAUAUUUAAACAUAACAAUGCAUGUUUUUGUACGAGCUCUUGCCAGUAAUUUAGCUUAUGGAUUUGCACUUUUACGAUUAUGAUCAUAUUAUAUUAUUACUUUUUCAGGUCAUGCUUGAUUAAUAGGUUUUUUUUUUUUUGCUUCGAACUAGUGGGAGUGUAAGAGGAAGAAGGCCACUGAUUUACAUAAAGAAAAGAAACUGAUUAUUAGAUAAACCCUCGAAGAAGGUCAAGCUUAAUAUAACUAUUUCUUCGUUUUAUGGUUUUCCUGUGUACUGUAUUCAUAUAUCACUGGCUCUUGUUAUGCUAUUUUAGCAAUAGGUUAUUUACUCAGGUUGUUCAGGUACUCAUGCGGUUUCUGGAGGCUGAGGAUAUUAGUCUCUUUGGAUAUGGUAUUCUUCCCAUUGGUAAGACCUAAGAAGGGUUUACGUUUUCAAACAUGAUAUUGACACGUUUUCUUGACACCUGAAGAGUUAGCUUAUGUUAGAUAUUAUUACUCCAUGUAACAUUUGCUUAUCUCUUGUCCAUCUACUUUACUUCAUUGAGUUUCAACAUUUAACAGACAUAGGUCUGUACAGCUUUCCUUGCAUAUAUAUGUUAAGUGUUUAUAUAUUUUCUAGAUAUAUAUUGGCAUAAGAUAUCAAUGAAGUAUAAUAAUAUUUAUGGCAGGGUUUUCAAAUGAAAUCAGUCGUAGUUAAUUGUAGAAAAAACCCCAAUAUCUACAAUUGGUUACGACAAUAUAAUGG
rnacentral:lncRNA from 1 species